CAGCAGACACAUUCCAGCCAAUCAGCAGCCGACCCUCCCUCCCAGACCCUCCCACCUCCUGGACAGCAUCCAUUUUGAAGCUGCAUUCUUAGUGAGCUGUCCAGGAGGUGGGAGGGUGUGGGAGGGAGGGUCUGUUGCUGAUUGGCUGGAAUGUGUCUGCUG
rnacentral:miRNA from 1 species